AAGAGCCCUGGAUCCCAGAUAUGCGUAGCCCUGAGGCCAUGCCAGGAGACCUCAGCCCAGCAGGAACUUGGAUUACAGAUAUAUUGGAAGAUCUGCAGGGAAGUGGAGUGGCAGAAAGGCGGUGGGGUAGUGUCUGUGUGGAGGAAAUCAGAAGGGAUGUCCAAGGAGGUCUGGAGCAGGGUCAGAGUGAGUGCAUC